AUACUUACCUGACAGGGGAGAUUCCAGGCAGAGGAUUGUCCAUUGCACUCCAUACAUGCUAGCUCCUGCAAUUUCCCCAAAUGUGGUAAAGUCAACUACAUAAUUUGUGGCAAUGAGGAACUAUGUACACACACAUAUACACA
ensembl:snRNA U1 U1 spliceosomal RNA